GAGCUCUAGGUGUUCGAUCAGAUGAAGAGACGCAGAUACGCAAAAUAUUCCAGAUGGUCAGCCAAAGCUACUAGGAACGUUUUGGCAUACAAAAUUUCUGACAAACUGUCUGACGGACAUGGCUAUAUCGACUCGGCUGUUGAUGCUGUUCAAGAAUGGUGUCGAAACUGAUUUCUGAUUGUAUGUAACAGCCACAAAGUUAUACAAUUACACCCUAUGGGUAGCGGAAAUUCAUAUAUAUUAUUAUAUAAAUGUGAGAAUUUUUUAUUAGUCAAUGCCAUUAAAUUUCAAUAGGAAUUAGAAA